GCUGCGGCCUAUCAGCUAGUUGGUAGGGUAAUGGCCUACCAAGGCUACGACGGGUAGGGGGCGUGAGAGCGUGUGCCCCCAGAGUGGUACUGAGACACGGACCACACACUACGGGUGGCAGCAACUGGGAAUCGUGCGCAAUGGACGAAAGUCUGACGCCGCGACGCCGCGUGAAGGAUGAAGGCCCAUGGGUUGUAAACUUCUUUUGUUUGAGCCGAGAGGCUCUUUCGAAUAAGCACCGGCUAACUACGUGCCAGCAGCAGCGGUAAUACGUAGGGUGCAAGCGUUGUUCGGAUUUAUUGGGCGUAAAGUGCCUCGUAGGCGUCCCGAUAAGUCGCGUUUUAAAGCCCCCGGCUUAACCGGGGAAAAGGACGCGAUACUAUCGGGAUUGAAUGGUGUAGGAGCUACUGGAACUGUUAAUGUAGGGGUGAAAUCCGUUGAUAUUGACAGGAACACCAAGGGCGAAGGCAGGUAGCUAUGCAUACAUUGACGCUGAGGAGCGAAAGCUAGGGUAUCGAAAGGGAUUAGAGACCCCUGUAGUCCUAGCCGUAAACGAUGCUCGCUAGGGAUGUGAAUUUAUUUACGUCCCGUAAGCUAACGCGUUAAGCGAGCUGCCUGGGGAGUACGAUCGCAAGAUUAAAACUCAAAGGAAUUGACGGGGACCCGCACAACCAGUGGAGCAUGUGGUUUAAUUCGAGACGAACCGAAGAACCUUACCUGGACUUGACAUCCAGCCCUUUAGGUUUGUAGAAAUACAAAUUGAUCCGCCAUUUGGCGGAAGGCUGGACAGGUGUUGCAUGGCCGUCGUCAGCUCGUGCCGUAGGGUGUUCCCUUCAGUGGGGUAACGAGCGCAACCCCUGCCGUAUGUUGAAUUAUUCAUACGGGACUAUCGC
rnacentral:rRNA from 1 species